AGACUAACAUGUAUGUUAUUUUGUAUUCAAUAUAGGUCGGACAGGAUAUAAACCCAGCUUAUGAAAAUAUCCUGAGGUACCUGGACUCUAUAGCACAUGCAGGUCAGGAGGUCACGAUUCCUUCCUUCGAUGUGCAGUCGCUGUUCCCCAAACAGUUGGACAAGUAUUUCACGUACAGUGGCUCACUAACCACCCCACCUUGCUUCCAGCCUGUCCAGUGGAUUGUUUUCCAUCAGCUGGUGCGGCUCUCCCAGUCCCAGUUUGUGGCCUUGAAGACCAAAUUGUUCAGCACAGGCCCCGACGCCACUCGGAAGCAACCGUUAGUGAAUAACUUUCGAAAAGCACAGCCCCUCAACGACAGAAAGAUCAGAGCUUCCUUCUCAUUGGGUGAGUGAUGAAAUGAUCCAGUAGAUUUCUGACCAGAUCAUUGGCUUGGGUUACUGGGUAGCACCCUCCAUUGGCAGGCUGUCACAAGUCUUCAAGUGCGAGGGCAGAGGGGGCAUCAGUGAUGAGGGACAGGUUCU